UAGGGAAUCUUCGGCAAUGGACGAAAGUCUGACCGAGCAACGCCGCGUGAGUGAAGAAGGUUUUCGGAUCGUAAAACUCUGUUGUUAGAGAAGAACAAGGACGUUAGUAACUGAACGUCCCCUGACGGUAUCUAACCAGAAAGCCACGGCUAACUACGUGCCAGCAGCCGCGGUAAUACGUAGGUGGCAAGCGUUGUCCGGAUUUAUUGGGCGUAAAGCGAGCGCAGGCGGUUUCUUAAGUCUGAUGUGAAAGCCCCCGGCUCAACCGGGGAGGGGCAUUGGAGACUGGGAGGCUUGAGUGCAGAAGAGGGGGGUGGAAUUCCAUGUGUGGCGGUGAAAUGCGUAGAUAUAUGGGGGAACACCAGUGGCGAAGGCGGCUCGCUGGUCUGUAACUGACGCUGAGGGUCGAAAGCGUGGGGAGCAAACAGG
rnacentral:rRNA from 1 species